rnacentral:rRNA from 1 species
ACUGAGACACGGCCCAGACUCCUACGGGAGGCAGCAGUGGGGAAUAUUGCACAAUGGGCGAAAGCCUGAUGCAGCGACGCCGCGUGAGGGAUGACGGCCUUCGGGUUGUAAACCUCUUUCAGCAGGGAAGAAGCGAAAGUGACGGUACCUGCAGAAGAAGCGCCGGCUAACUACGUGCCAGCAGCCGCGGUAAUACGUAGGGCGCAAGCGUUGUCCGGAAUUAUUGGGCGUAAAGAGCUCGUAGGCGGUCUGUCGCGUCGGAUGUGAAAGCCCGGGGCUUAACCCCGGGUCUGCAUUCGAUACGGGCAGACUAGAGUGUGGUAGGGGAGAUCGGAAUUCCUGGUGUAGCGGUGAAAUGCGCAGAUAUCAGGAGGAACACCGGUGGCGAAGGCGGAUCUCUGGGCCAUUACUGACGCUGAGGAGCGAAAGCGUGGGGAGCGAACAGGAUUAGAUACCCUGGUAGUCCACGCCGUAAACGGUGGGAACUAGGUGUUGGCGACAUUCCACGUCGUCGGUGCCGCAGCUAACGCAUUAAGUUCCCCGCCUGGGGAGUACGGCCGCAAGGCUAAAACUCAAAGGAAUUGACGGGGGCCCGCACAAGCAGCGGAGCAUGUGGCUUAAUUCGACGCAACGCGAAGAACCUUACCAAGGCUUGACAUCGCCCGGAAAGCAUCAGAGAUGGUGCCCCCCUUGUGGUCGGGUGACAGGUGGUGCAUGGCUGUCGUCAGCUCGUGUCGUGAGAUGUUGGGUUAAGUCCCGCAACGAGCGCAACCCUUGUUCUGUGUUGCCAGCAUGCCCUUCGGGGUGAUGGGGACUCACAGGAGACUGCCGGGGUCAACUCGGAGGAAGGUGGGGACGACGUCAAGUCAUCAUGCCCCUUAUGUCUUGGGCUGCACACGUGCUACAAUGGCAGGUACAAUGAGCUGCGAUGUCGCAAGGCGGAGCGAAUCUCAAAAAGCCUGUCUCAGUUCGGAUUGGGGUCUGCAACUCGACCCCACGAAGUCGGAGUUGCUAGUAAUCGCAGAUCAGCAUUGCUGCGGUGAAUACGUUCC